GAUGAACGCUGGCGGCGUGCUUAACACAUGCAAGUCGAACGAUGAAGCCCAGCUUGCUGGGUGGAUUAGUGGCGAACGGGUGAGUAACACGUGAGUAACCUGCCCUUGACUCUGGGAUAAGCCUGGGAAACUGGGUCUAAUACUGGAUAUGAUUUCUCAUCGCAUGGUGGGGGGUGGAAAGAUUUAUUGGUCUUGGAUGGACUCGCGGCCUAUCAGCUUGUUGGUGAGGUAAUGGCUCACCAAGGCGACGACGGGUAGCCGGCCUGAGAGGGUGACCGGCCACACUGGGACUGAGACACGGCCCAGACUCCUACGGGAGGCAGCAGUGGGGAAUAUUGCACAAUGGGCGCAAGCCUGAUGCAGCGACGCCGCGUGAGGGAUGACGGCCUUCGGGUUGUAAACCUCUUUCAGUAGGGAAGAAGCGAGAGUGACGGUACCUGCAGAAGAAGCGCCGGCUAACUACGUG
rnacentral:rRNA from 1 species